rnacentral:tRNA from 1 species
AAAGCUUUAAGUUAAAAAAACUAUUAACCUUCAAAGUUAAAUAUAUGAAAGGCUUUCAUAAGCUUUA